GUUAGCGAAAAUCUGUUCCUCUUCAUCAGACAGUGGCUCGAGUUUUCACAAGAGGCCGUGUUCACGUCGUAGAUAGAAGCAGGCAAUUGGCUGCCUUCACCGCGAGUGAAUGGGCUGCAAUGGAGAGGCUCAAAAGCACCAUGUUCCUUGGAGUGCACAUCACUGAGGAGCUGAAAUGGUCCCUCCACACUGACAGCAUGGUGGACGCACAACAGUGCCUCCUCAACCUCUGGAGGCUGAAGAAAUUUGUCUUGGCCACUUACGAACUUCUACAGAUGCACCGUCGAGAGCAUUCUGUCAGGCUGUAUCUCUGCUUAGGAUUUUGCCUGUGUUUAGCUCCAUUCAGUGUCUUUUUUUAUCCUGAAAACCCACCGAGUCCUUAACGAUUACAAGCAUACACAUAACAUGAUGCAGCCAUCACUAUGCUUGAAAAUAUGGAGAGUGGUACUUAGUAAUAUGUUUGAGGCAAUUCCAAUACAACACAAUACUUUAUUCAGGACAAAAAGUGAAUUGCUUUGCCACAUUUUUUUGUAAUAUUACUUUGUGUUGUUGCAAACAGGAAGCAUGUUUAGGCUUAUUUCACUGGGGCCAAGCUUCCUGCCAUCCAGGAUCUCGAAACCAGGCGGUGUCAGAGGAAGGCCCUAAAAAUGGUCAGACUCCAGCCAACCAAGUUCUUUCUGCUACCGCACGGCAUGUGGUACCGGAGUGCCAAGUCUAGGUACAAAAGGCACCCUAACAGCUUCUACCCCCAAGCCAUAAGAGUGCUGAACAGUUAAUCAAAUGGCAACCCAGACUAUUUGCAUUGGCCCCUUUUUUUACGCUGCUGCUACUCGCUGAGUAUUAUCUAUGCAUAGUCAGUACUGGUACCCCCUGUAUAUAGCCUUAUUGUUAUUUUGUUACUUUUUUAAAAACUUUUUUGUUGUUGUUACUCUAUCUUUAGAAAGAACCGUGUUUAAGCAAGAAUAGAGUAGAAAAUCAUGGAAUGACUUUAUUCCAUCAACAUCAGUAAGGUAAAUAUUAAACUAUACUUGUUCUAGCCUAGGUUUACUGUCUCUCUUAAAACAGGUAUUUACACAAGCCUGUUUCAAAUUACAAUUUAACAAAGGGUUAAAAGGAUGUACACUCCAGUUUGUAGAGAACAGUCAGUCUGUAAUAUCAAGUACAGGGUUACAUUCAUUUAUGUUUAAUAUUUCACCCGUCAUCACAAGACCUGGAGAAUUCAGGCCAUUUACAGCAAACAGCUUGAGGUCAAGGACUGUUUGUAAAGAUCCCAUACCACAGAUGAUAGAUAGGCUUGUGAGCUCUGGGGGUUUUCAUAACAGAAACAGUUACAGUAAGAGGGACUUGUUUUGGUUGUUUUGGUUGUUGUUGCAUUGAUGAACACAGUGACAUGAAGCAGCGCCUCUUCAACCUCAGGAGGCUGAAGAAAUUCGGCUUGCCACCAAAAACAAAUCAAAUCAAUUUAUAUAGCUGAUAUCUCAAAGUGCUGUACAGAAACCCAGCCUAAAACGCCAAACAGCAAGCAAUGCAGGUGUAGAAGCACGGUGGCUAGGAAAAACUCCCUAGAAAGGCCAAAACCUAGGAAGAAACCUAGAGAGGAACCAGGCUUUGUGGGGUGGCCAGUCCUCUUCCGCUGUGCCAGGUGGAGAUUAUAACAGAACAUGGCCAAGAUGUUCAAAUGUUCAUAAAUGACCAGCAUGGCCAAAUAAUAAUAAUCACAGGCAGAACAAUUGAAACUGGAGCAGCAGCACGGCCAGGUGGACUGUCGGGCUGUAUCACCGCCUGGUACGGCAACUGCUCCGCCCAUAACCGUAAUAUUCUCCAGAGGGGAGUGAGGUCUGCACAACGCAUCCCCGGGUGCAAACUACCUGCCCUCCAGGACACCUACACCACCCGAUGUCACAGGAAGGCCAAAAAGAUCAUCAAGGACAACAACCACCCGAGCCACUGCCUGUUCACCCCGCUAUCAUCCAAAAGGCGAGGUCAGUACAGGUGCAUCAAAGCGGGGACCGGGAGACUGAAAAACAGCUUCUAUCUCAAGGCCAUCAGACUGUUAAACAGCCAUCACUAACAUUGAGUGGCUGCUGCCAACAUACUGACUCAACUCUAGCCACUUUAAUAAUGGAAAAAUUGAUGUAAUCAAUUUAUCACUAGCCACUUUAUAUAAUGCUUACAUACCCUGCAUUACUCAUCUCAUAUGUAUAUACUGUACUCUAUACAAUCUACUGUAUCUUGCCUAUUCCAUUCGGGCAUCACUCAUUCAUAUAUUGUUAUGUACAUAUUCGUAUUCAUUCCUUUACACUUGUGUGUGUAUAAGGUAGUUGUUGUGAAAUUGUUAGGUUACCUUACUUGUUAGAUAUUACUGCAUGGUCGGAACUAGAAGCACAAGCAUUUUGCUACACCUGCAUUAACAUCUGCUAACCAUGUGUAUGUGACAAGUACAUUUGAUUUGAUGUACAUCAGUAUAAAUAUAGCCAACAGUGACUGA